rnacentral:rRNA from 1 species
AGUGAACGCUGGCGGUAGGCCUAACACAUGCAAGUCGAACGGCAGCACAGUAAGAGCUUGCUCUUACGGGUGGCGAGUGGCGGACGGGUGAGGAAUACAUCGGAAUCUACUUUUUCGUGGGGGAUAACGUAGGGAAACUUACGCUAAUACCGCAUACGACCUACGGGUGAAAGCAGGGGAUCUUCGGACCUUGCGCGAUUGAAUGAGCCGAUGUCGGAUUAGCUAGUUGGCGGGGUAAAGGCCCACCAAGGCGACGAUCCGUAGCUGGUCUGAGAGGAUGAUCAGCCACACUGGAACUGGGCCACGGUCCAGACUCCUACGGGAGGCAGCAGUGGGGAAUAUUGGACAAUGGGCGCAAGCCUGAUCCAGCCAUACCGCGUGGGUGAAGAAGGCCUUCGGGUUGUAAAGCCCUUUUGUUGGGAAAGAAAAGCAGCAGGUUAAUACCACGCUGUUCUGACGGUACCCAAAGAAUAAGCACCGGCUAACUUCGUG